rnacentral:lncRNA from 1 species
UCAAAUCCUUCUGAUAAACCAAGAACCAAGGUUGAGUUGCUGCAGCAAACUGUCUCAUCGUCUCCUCCAGUUAGUCCCAGUCUCUCAAGCAAGCUUCACGUUUUUAAGCCAACAAGAGAGAGGCAUGGUGUUUCUUCUGGUAUGAACGGUAGCUUGAGCCCAAAUACACACAGCAAAGGGUCAAAUGUCCUCCUGACCAUUCCUCCUGCAAAUAUUGCUGCUUCCUCUGCCUCUGGACACAAACCUGUUGGGACAAUGGUGGAAAAGAAACUAUCAUCCCAAGCUCGGGGUCGGAAUGAUUUCUUCAAUCUUAUGAGAAAGAAAUCUAUUGGAAGCAGUUCAGCUGUCA